rnacentral:tRNA from 5 species
GCUCCGGUAGUGUAGUCCGGCCAAUCAUUCCGGCCUUUCGAGCCGAAGACCCGGGUUCAAAUCCCGGCCGGAGCA